GACCCGUCUUGAAACACGGACCAAGGAGUUGAACAUGUAGGCGAGUCAUUUGGUGUUGAAACCAAAAGGCGCAGUGAAAGCGAAAUUUGCCAAGAUCCGCUGGCUUAGGCCGGUGGCGCAUUGGCGACUCGUCACAUUGCCGUGUGCAGGUGGCGAAGUUGGAGCCUACACGUUCAGACCCGAAAGAUGGUGAACUAUGCUCGAGCAGGACGAAGCCAGAGGAAACUCUGGUGGAGGUCCGCAGCGAUUCUGACGUGCAAAUCGAUCGUCUGACUUGAGUAUAGGGGCGAAAGACUAAUCGAACCAUCUAGUAGCUGGUUCCCUCCGAAGUUUCCCUCAGGAUAGCUGGUACUCGAGGGCAGUUGUACUUCGAUAAAGCGAAUGAUUAGAGUGUUCUGGGUCGAAACGACCUAAACCUAUUCUCAAACUUUAAAUGGGUACGAUAUCGRGCUCACUUGAUUGGAGCUCGAAUGCGAAUGUGUGUAGUGCCAAGUGGGCCACUUUUGGUAAGCAGAACUGGCGCUGUGGGAUGAACCAAACGUUUGGUUAAGGUGCCGAACACGGACGCUCAUGAGAAACCAUAAAAGGUGUUGGUUGAUAUAGACAGCAGGACGGUGGCCAUGGAAGUCGGAAUCCGCUAAGGAGUGUGU
rnacentral:rRNA from 1 species